UAUAUUAAUGGAGAGCUUCCUUGAGUCCAUUCACAGGUCGUGAUAUGAUCCAAUUAGCUUCCGACUCAUUCAUACAAAUACCGAGUCACAGAAAUCUUAACUGGACUCGGUAAAUGAAUGAAUGAUGCUGUAGACAAAUUGGAUCAUUGAUUCUCUCUGAUUGGACUGAAGGGAGCUCCCUCUCUUUAGGUA
rnacentral:pre_miRNA from 1 species